rnacentral:lncRNA from 1 species
CAGUACUAUGUUGUGGACGAAAGCUGGACUGAAAUGGGCCAAAGAAAUUAUUUGCCACUAGGAAAGUGUCACGAUUCACACUGGGAGCAGGGGACGAGGAGACCGAGGAGACGAGGAGUAAAGCAAAUUCCAAAGUCUUUAAUGAAAACAAAGCUGGGAACACAGGAACACAGGAAACACAGAACACGAAAUGACAUUUAACAGCGGAUGGGAAAUGAGGUGCAGAACACACUUUAAAUACACAGAAACGAAUGGGACACACCUGGGAUCAAAUAAAAGGAGGCAAACGAGAUAAUUAAACACAGCUGGAACCAAUAGAACUAAAUAGGGACAGGAAAAACCAAAUAUGGGCAUAAUAAUCAAACUGGAGAACGUGGGGGAGGAAAACACAACACGAGACAUGGAACAGAGUCUGACAGAAAGACUUGAAGCUGGGAAGCUACAGUAGUCUCCAAUAAUUUAGCAAUAAAUGCUGAAAGGGAAGACCAAAGGAAGGCCUGUCAUGGGGUUUGAAUUUGGCCAUACUGUGUGUUUACGGAGAAGACCAAAAGCUGCAAAGGAAAACACUUCCAAUGAUUGUGCCCAUUGAUUUCUCACAGAUUACUAAAUCCUUCUCCAUCAGCUCUCCACAAUAUCAGCCCUGCCAAAAUCUUCCACAUCUCUCUCUCUCUCUCGUGUGGCACUUCUGCUCUCAGUCCUUUACUGCCAACUUCUUAGCAUGUCUACUUAUAUAUAUAGAUAUAUUCUUGAUGAAAAUUAUAAUUUACUAUAAUUGUUAA